UCAGUUAAUGCUAUACGCAAGAGAAUGAUCUAUGUAUGAACAACUUCUAAAACGAGAUUGAGAACUUCUUGAUAAGAUACUGGUUUGCUCAGGAAACGAGGGAUUAACAAAUCAAAGAAAUUGAUGCGAGAGACCAGAGGAUGGGUAACAGGAUCACUUUCCAUAACCUGUGAUGCGCAAUAAACAGGAAAGGUGUUAAUCACUGGAAGAGUACAUUCAAACUGAAGCGUCAUUUCGAGAAGUAAUGGACUAUAUAACAUAAAUAACUUGGGUCAAUCUGGUCAAGACCAGGGGAUUGUAGAACUGAUUCUUCUUGGUCUAAACACCUUUCACGUGCAAAAAGCUUACAACGGGGUUGAAAAGCAAAUUAUUCUGUAUCCUGGAAUAUUAUGUGGGCCAAAAAAAAUAUUUUUCAUAAUAAAAGAUGAAUUGCACCAUAAUUUUUUAUGAUAUAACCCUUGAUAUGACCUGCAUUUAUAUUUGUAAAACACUUCAAGAGUUUUAACAAUUUAUGGCAUUUGAAAGAAGUUGUAUGAAAUCUACUAACGAUAGUAUAUUAUAUUCAUUCAGCAUUAAGACUACAUAAAGGAGGCGUGGACUAAUUUAUACAGAAAAUGCUUACUGUGACAUCAUGCAAAAAUAAUAAUAUCAUAAAAUGUAAUUAUCUGCUUGUUUGAACUGUAUAGGAGUAUGAAUCUACAUCAAAACUUACCACCGCAAUUUAUCUGGCUAAUUAAAUUCAACACAGCAAGAUAAAAACAGGUCACUGUUCGCAAUGCACUUGUCGACAUGACGUCAGGCUGGUAAUAUUAUAGGUAUAAAGCAUUAGUUCCUUUUUCGUUUGUGUAACAUUUAUUAAAUACCAUUAUUAAAUUUUUAUCGACAAACUGUAUUGAAUUUAUUAUCCCCUGUUUUGUGUAAAGGAAAUGCAUGUUGAACAUCAAGAAGCCUCAAUAAAUCGCUCUAGUGCAAGGGCAUAAACUAAAUAGAU